rnacentral:rRNA from 1 species
AUGGAUGAAACUGCUUCGGGAUCAGGAACCGGUGCGUCCGGCUCUGAUCUAGAAGCGAUGAUGGAAGAGCUAGGGCUGAAAGAAGAUGAACUUGAGGACGUGGUUGUGGAAGAAGAGGAGAUGCCAGCGGAGGCUACCCGAUGGAUGAUCAUUGCUAGGGUUCAUACCGAGAAAAGCUACAGCCAAUACUGGUUCUACAGGAACAUGAGGGUGGCGUGGGAUCUAGCAAAAGAAGUUAAGAUCAAGCCGCUCAAGGAGAACCUGUACACAAUGCAAUUCGGCUGCCUAGGAGAUUGGGAGCGCGUGAUGGAGGAUGGACUGUGGGCUUACAAAGGGAAGACGGUGGUGUUGGCGCCGUACGAUGGCUUCACUAAGCCGUCGACGAUAGAGCUCAAUAAAGUUGACAUCUGGAUUCAGAUCUAUGAUUUCCCUGAAGGAUACUUUUCCAAGAUCAAGGCCUUGUCUUCCACAGUCGGCGAGUUCAUGCUGAGCCAAGUUCGCAUGACUUUGAGGCAUGGUUUAGAGGGCCAGGCAGAGGCCCAGGGGAAGGACGAGGACAAGGGGGCAACAGCACUAGAGGUGGCCGAGGUAGGGGUCAAGUGGGCAGAACAGGCCGAGGACGCUUACAAGAACAGCAGAAUACCUCGGCUGAUUCAGACAUCUACAUGGAGGAUGUGGAUGGGAAUAGGAAGAGGAGUGCUACGGUACAGGACCCGAUGGUUUAAGCUGUGA